ACAACUGUCGCCCUCCUCCCGGGCCUAAGC
rnacentral:sRNA from 1 species